CGAGGGUUCGAAUCCCUCUCUUUC
rnacentral:tRNA from 2 species